rnacentral:misc_RNA from 1 species
ACAAACUUGGUCAUUUAGAGGAAGUAAAAGUCGUAACAAGGUUUCCGUAGCUUCAAGUUUAGGAACUGAUCCUUCCGCAUGACACUUGCCGAAGCCUUAGCAGCCCGAAAGGGUGAGCGCCGCGACUGAAAACAACGAGAGCUCUUGAAUGCUAGUCUGGGAAGCCAGGCGACACUAUCAAAUUGCGGGAACACCCUAAAGACCUCAACACCAAGCGCCCGCUGGAAACGGCGGCUGGGCCGAGCUAAUAGCAGCUGCCCGCGAUAACCGUUCCGUAGGUGAACCUGCGGAAGGAUCAUUACUGAGAAUGCUCUCCGGAGCCCUCAAACCACUGCGUACCAAUCUCGUGCUUGCGGGCGCGGCCCUCGGGUCUGCCCGCAGGAUUCAAACCGUUUGACUGUCGUCUGAUUUCCACAAAAGAAAAACAACUUUCAACAAUGGAUCUCUUGGCUCCGGCAUCGAUGAAGAACGCAGC